rnacentral:lncRNA from 1 species
AUGCACUUGAAGAAAAUGUAUCAGGAAAAUACAUGAUGCACUUGAAGAAAAUGUAUCAGCAAAAUACAUGAUGCAAAUUCAUGAAUUAUUAGGUGUCCAUUUAUAUUCCCAUGUCUCUAGAGUUAUCCAUGUGGUCCUAUAAAUAGAGGUCAUUCUUGUAGUCUCAUUGUAAGAAAAAAAAGAAGAAAACAUUAUUGAGUGUGCUGUAGCAACUCCAACUCAAAAACUAUCAAUAAAAAUUCAAGUUUUUCUUCAACACUUCGUUUCCGCACUAACAAAUUUGGUAUCAGAGCCAUAACUUGUGAUUGCAUUUUUUCAUGGCUUUCAUACAAACAGCUUCGUUGUUUACAUAUUCUUCCAGUCAAGUCCCAAUCUUCGAAGGCGAGCAUUAUGAAUACUGGAGCAUCCAAAUGCAAACUUUCUUCAUCUCCUUAGAUCUUUGGGAUGUCAUUGACGAUGAGGAGUACGAAGAACCAUCCGAAGACAAUGAAGAUUACGAAAAAUUGCAAAAAGAAUUUAAAAGAAAAGAUGCAAUGGCUCUCCGCUAUAUUCAACAAGGAGUCGGGAAAUCAAUUUUCCCUCGUAUCUUUGGUGUUAAAAAAGCCAAAGAUACUUGGGAAAUAUUGAUGCAAGAAUUGCAAGGAACGGAGAAAACAAUCGCCUUGAAACUUCAAUCCUUAUGGAGAGACUUUGAUAAUCUCCAAAUGGAAGAACGAGAAUCGAUUCGUGUUUUUUCUUCACGAGUAGCCGAGACAGUAAAUCAAAUCAAAAGUUGUGGUGACACAAUUACAGACAAAAGAGUCGUGGAGAAAAUGUUAAGAUGCCUUCCUCCAAAGUUUGACCAUGUUGCGGCCGCAAUUGAAGAAUCGAAAGACUUGUCCAAAAUGACCAUUUAUGAGUUAACCGGGUCACUUCUUGCCCAUGAGCAAAGGAUCAAUCGUUCGAGUAACCAAUCUACUACCGAACAAGCUUUCCAAUCAAAGCAAACAUCAAAAGGAGGAUCGAACAACUAUGGAGAACACAACAGAGGCUCGAAUCAAACAAAACAAAAAGAUAGCUAUUGGAAGAAGGGUGACAAGCAAAGCAAAUGGAAAGGCAAGCAAACACAAAUUUCUGGUGGUAACAAUCCAACUUGCAUAAUUUGCAAAAAAAUGAAUCAUGAAUCAAAGGAGUGCUACUUUAGAUGCAAAAGGUGCAAGAUCCCAAAUCAUUCGCAAAGGGAUUGUUGGUUUCAAAAUAAAGAGAUGACAGAAAGAAAAAGUGCAGCAAACUUUUCUCAAGAGAAUGAAAAGGAAAUUCUGUUUUAUUCUCAAAAUUAUGAAAAUGGAGCUCAAAGCCCUUGGUAUUUGGAUAGCGGUUGUAGCAAUCACAUGACGGGGAAUCGCGACAUCUUUGUGGACCUUAAUCCAAAUAUUACUUCACAAGUAAUUCUUGGCGAUGGAACAUGUAGAGAUGCGGUAGGAAAAGGCACCAUUGCUGUCCAAAUUAAAGAAGGUAACAAGAAACUCAUCACAGAUGUUCUUUAUGUUCCCAAUCUUUCUCAUAAUCUCCUAAGUGUUGGACAACUUAUUCAAAGUGACUUCUCUGUCCACUUUGAUGAUGGUGCAUGUAAAGUUUUUGACAAAAAGAAAAAUAUUUGUGUGGUAAAUAUUGAAAUGAAGAACAAGACAUUUCCUCUUAUGAUGCCACUAAAUGAGAAUUGUGCACUCAAGGCAAGAGACGAAGAUUUGGCGUAUUUGUGGCAUUUACGAUAUGGUCAUCUUCGUGAAAGAGGCCUUCGUUUACUCCAAAUGAAAAACAUGGUGACGGGACUUCCUAACAUCCAACACAUAGACAAAAUGUGCGAAUGAUGCAUCUAUGGGAAAUUGUACAAGUUGUCGUUUCCAAAAACUUCAUGGAGAACGAAAGCACCACUUGAGCUUGUGCACUCGGAUAUUUGUGGGCCAAUGCAAACUCCCACUUUUGGAAACAAGAGAUAUUUUAUUCUCUUUGUUGAUGACUUCACAAGAAUGAUAUGGGUUUUCUUCCUCAGUCAAAAAUCUGAGGCAUAUUCCACAUUUCUUCAAUUCAAAGCUCAAGCAGAAAGGCAAAGUGGUUUUUUGAUAAAAACUUUAAGGACCGAUCGUGGAGGUGAAUAUCUCUAUAAUCCUUUCAUGGAAUAUUGCAGAAAAAAUGGCAUCAAAAGACAAUUAACUGUGAGUCGAACUCCGCAACAAAAUGGCGUGGCCGAAAGAAAAAAUCGCACAAUUGUUGAAAUGGCAAGAAGCAUGCUAAAGGGCAAAGGACUUCCAAAUCUGUAUUGGGCAGAAGCUGUAAAUACGGCAGUAUACAUUCUCAAUCGGUCUCCAACAAAGGCUGUACGGAAUAAAACUCCAUACGAAGCUUGGAACAAAAAGAAGCUAAUGGUUGAUCACUUCAAAAUAUUUGGCAGCAUUGCUUAUGCUCUUAUCCCUUCUCAAAAACUUGUCUUUGUUGGAUAUAGUGAUGAAUCUAAAGGAUAUCGGUUAUUAGAUCCAACUACAAACAAAAUUACAGUUUCACGAGACGUUGUUUUUGAUGAAACUGCAUCUUGGGAUUGGAAAGGGAAAGAAGUUGUGGACCAGACACCAUACCAUUUUGUUGAUCCAUUAACAUUUCAAGCAGGUCCGUCACAAGUUGGAAAUUUAGAGCAUAAUCCAAACCCUACUACAAGAAGUGAGGAAGAAUCUGAUCCAGAAAGCCCUCCAAGAAAGACACGUUCACUACAAGACAUAUAUGAGUCAUGUGAACUUGGGUUGUUCUCUAGUGAACCACAAUCAUUUGAAGAAGCCUCAAAAGAAGUAUGUUGGACAAAAGCCAUGAAUGAAGAAAUGUCCACAAUCGAGAAAAACAAAACUUGGAAGCUUGUUGCCUUGCCAGAAGGGAAGAAAAUCAUUGGACUCAAGUGGGUCUAUAAAAUAAAAUACAAUGAAGAUGGGUCGAUCCAAAAGCACAAAGCACGUCUUGUUGCAAAAGGGUAUUCUCAACAGCCCGAAAUUGAUUACACUGAAACAUAUGCUCCGGUUGCAAGAAUGGAGACAAUUCGUACUGUUUUGGCACUGGCAGCUCAAUUGGAGGUAUGUGUUUAUCAACUUGAUGUAAAAUCGGCGUUCUUAAAUGGUGAAAUUCAAGAAGAAGUUUAUGUCGAGCAACCCGAAGGAUUUGAAAUCAAAGGACAAGAAGGAAAAGUCUAUCGUUUAUACAAGGCACUUUAUGGUUUAAAGCAAGCGCCGCGAGCAUGGAAUAGCAAAAUCAAUAGCUAUUUCAUCAAAAUGGAUUCAAUCGAAGCACGAGUGAAUCAUCUCUAUAUGUCAAUAAUCUUGGAAGAGACUUUCUUGUAGUAUGUCUUUAUGUGGAUGAUCUUCUAUACUUUGGUACAAGUAAAAGCAUGGUGGAAGAAUUCAAGAAAAAGAUGAUGAGAGACUUUGAGAUGAGUGACUUGGGUCAAAUGAAAUACUUUCUUGGCAUCCAAGUCAAACAAAGCCCGGGAAGAAUUUUUUUAUCUCAAGAGAAGUAUAUUGAUGAUCUUCUAGAAAAAUCCAGCAUGAACCAGUGCAAGCCAGUCUCUACUCCAAUGGGGCCGAAUGAAAAAUUCCAAGUCAAUGAUGAUGCUGAAAAAGUAGAUGCUACACUCUACCGAAAGUUAAUUGGUUCACUCAUCUACCUCAACACAAGGCCGGAUAUCACUCAAUCAGUGAGUUUACUUUCCAGGUUCAUGAAUGAACCAAGCAAGAAUCACUUUACGGCGGCAAAAAGAAUUUUGAGAUACCUUAAAGGUACAAAAAAUCAAGGCAUUGAGUUCAAAAAGGAAAAUAACUUCAACCUUGUUGGCUACACUGACAGUGAUUGGGCAGGCUCACUUGUUGACCGCAAAAGUACAUCGGGCUACAUCUUUUGUCUUGGAACAAAUAUUAUUUCAUGGAGUUCGAGGAAGCAAAGGUCUAUAGCACUAUCUUCUGCAGAAGCGGAAUACAUUGCAGCUGCGGAUGCCGCUUGUGAAGCAGUUUGGCUUAGAAGAAUUCUAAAAGACUUGAUGUUUGAACAACAAGAGCCAACAACAAUACAUUGCGACAAUAUUUCAGCAAUUGCUAUGACAAAAAAUCCAGUUUUUCAUGCCAGAUCGAAGCAUAUUGAACUACGUCAUCACUUCAUUCGAGAUUUGGUAAGUCGAGAAGAAAUUUGCAUGGAAUUUAUCAACACAAAUUAUCAGCCAGCAGACAUUUUAACAAAGGCAGUCACAUUUGACAAGUUCGACAAGAUCAAGGAAAAACUCAAGAUUACAAAUUAAGAGGGGGUGUUAAAUGUGGCAUUAAUUUAUAAUCUUAGGAAAUAAAUAAGGUUACAUGCACUUGAAGAAAAUGUAUCAGGAAAAUACAUGAUGUACUUGAAGAAAAUGUAUCAGCAAAAUACAUGAUGCAAAUUCAUGAAUUAUUAGGUGUCUAUUUAUAUUCCCAUGUCUCUAGAGUUAUCCAUGUGGUCCUAUAAAUAGAGGUCAUUCUUGUAGUCUCAUUGUAAGAAAAAAAAAAGAAGAAAACAUUAUUGAGUGUGCU